AUAUCAGGCCCAAGUAUCCUAAAAGCACCAAAUCCCAUAUGAUCUUGAAAGCUAAGCAGGCUUGAAUUCUGAUUAGUACUUGGAUGGGAAACAGCCAAUGCAUACCAGGUGCUCUAGGUU
rnacentral:rRNA from 1 species